UCCUUUGCUAAGCAACAUGGGAAGAAUCCACCGGCGUGCCAAAACCAGCCUUGGCGAGAUUCCCGCUCCAGCAUCCUCACAUGCUGCAUCCAUCGCUUGUGUAGGGGCCCCGGCCAUGUACCACCCACCGGGAUGGUGAUGCUGCCCCUCCUCAGCGUCAGGACCCGCUGAUGAGCAGAAGACCCGCUGACCAGCCCAUCUCAAAAAUGCCUUCUACAGCGCCCCCUAGCUCUCUUCUCGUGUUACAGACACAACCUAGUUGCUCUGUUUGUUAUUCAUUAUUAUUAAUUAAAUUAACGAAGUGUAUCGUCAUUAUGAAAUCUCACCUCCCGCCUUCAUGGACCUUUCAUAUUUACGAUCUGUAGUCCAUCUGACAUCCAUUAAUCUCUUUUUGUGUAAAUUUAUGGUCUGUGGUUACUGUGUCCCCGAUAAACGCCUGUAUAGAAUCCA